rnacentral:tRNA from 1 species
GGCAGGAUGGCUCAGUGGAAAGAGCAUGGGAUUAGGAGUCAGAGGUCAUGGGUUCUAAUCCCAGCUUUGCCA